UAGGGAAUCUUCGGCAAUGGACGAAAGUCUGACCGAGCAACGCCGCGUGAGUGAAGAAGGUUUUCGAAUCGUAAAACUCUGUUGGUAGAGAAGAACGUUGGUGAGAGUGGAAAGCUCAUCAAGUGACGGUAACUACCCAGAAAGGGACGGCUAACUACGUGCCA
rnacentral:rRNA from 1 species